GUCUUCGUGGUGUAGUGGUCAGCACGCUCGGUGCGUGUUUGAGAAGUCCGUGGUUCGAUUCCCUGCAAAGGCA
rnacentral:tRNA from 1 species